rnacentral:rRNA from 1 species
UAGCAAUACUUAGUGGCAGACGGGUGAGUAACAUGUAGGUAUCUGCCCUUUGGCCUGGAAUAACACGAGGAAACUUGUGCUAAUACCGGAUAAGUCUUUACGGAGAAAGCUUUAUGCACCAUUGGAUGAGCCUGCACUUGAUUAGUUUGUUGGUGGGGUAAUGGCCUACCAAGACUGUGAUCAAUAGCUGAUUUGAGAGGAUGAUCAGCCACAUUGGGACUGAGACACGGCCCAAACUCCUACGGGAGGCAGCAGUGGGGAAUCUUGCACAAUGGAGGAAACUCUGAUGCAGCGAUGCCGCGUGAGUGAAGAAGGCCCUUGGGUUGUAAAGCUCUUUCGUCGGGGAAGAAAAUGACUGUACCCGAAUAAGAAGGUCCGGCUAACUUCGUGCCAGCAGCCGCGGUAAUACGAAGGGACCUAGCGUAGUUCGGAAUUACUGGGCUUAAAGAGUUCUUAGGUGGUUGAAAAAGUUAGUGGUGAAAUCCCAGAGCUUAACUCUGGAACUGCCAUUAAAACUUUUCAGCUAGAGUAUGAUAGAUGAAAGCAGAAGUUCUAGUGUAGAGGUGAAAUUCGUAGAUAUUAGAAAGAAUACCAAUUGGGAAGGCUGCUUUCUGGAUCAUUACUGACGCUGAUGAGCGAAAGCAUGGGUACCGAA